AACUUUCAACAACGGAUCUCUUGGCUCUCGCAUCGAUGAAGAACGCAGCGAAAUGCGAUAAGUAAUGUGAAUUGCAGAUUUUCAGUGAAUCAUCGAAUCUUUGAACGCACCUUGCGCUCCUUGGUACUCCGAGGAGCAUGCCUGUUUGAGUGUCA
rnacentral:rRNA from 1 species